ensembl:ncRNA Y39B6A.82 ncRNA
AGUUGGUGGCCUAGAAAUCCAAACCUAGGCCACCAACUUCAAACCGUCAUAACUUGGUGCUAAAUUGACGGAUUUGGC